GGGGUCAUAGCUCAGUUGGUAGAGCACCUGCUUUGCAAGCAGGGGGUCGUCAGUUCGAGUCUGAUUGGCUCCACCA
rnacentral:tRNA from 6 species